rnacentral:rRNA from 1 species
UACGGAGGGAGCUAGCGUUGUUCGGAAUCACUGGGCGUAAAGCGCACGUAGGCGGCUUCUUAAGUCAGGGGUGAAAUCCUGGAGCUCAACUCCAGAACUGCCUUUGAUACUGAGGAGCUUGAGUCCGGGAGAGGUGAGUGGAACUGCGAGUGUAGAGGUGAAAUUCGUAGAUAUUCGCAAGAACACCAGUGGCGAAGGCGGCUCACUGGCCCGGUACUGACGCUGAGGUGCGAAAGCGUGGGGAGCAAACAGG